ACCGAAGCCCGUAACCGCCUCUGGGCGUGACUGGGUGGCUGGUAUCUUCCUUCUGAGGGAUGUAUGACGCAGUGUGGGCCGGCUUCAGGGUCGCGAAUCCCCAUGUCUGCGGCGGACCAUCCCUUGGGCAACUCAGUGGGGGCAAUUGGAUGGCCUGUGAUCAUCUCUGGCGGCUUCGGCCCUGGAGGUUACGCAGGCUGGAUGCUGGGCUUAGGUCCACGUCCCAAACCUCUUAACUAACACUACCUCUCCUUGAGGUUCUCCGGUGGCCUCUCGUCCUUCGGGGCGAGUGGCUUCCCGGUUAAGAUAGUUACCUGGUUGAUUCUGCCAGUAGUCAUAUGCUUGUCUCAA
rnacentral:misc_RNA from 1 species